UACACAACAUGCAACACAGCUCUACUUUUAACUAAUGCUGGAUCAGAAACAGUUCCAACGCAUUGCUUAAAAUUGACCUCUCUGUUGUCAUACUAUUGCUGGAUAGUUAACAGUACCGGUGGAUUGCUUAGUGCUUAGUACAGAGUGAUCAAUUAUAGAGAAAAAAAAAGCAUUUUUAAAUCGUCAGUGGUGGUGUUGUGCCUGAUCGAUCCUGCGAAGCGAGGUCGAGAUCAUGUGAGAUCCGUGACUGCUUUGCUGUUGAGUUCUAAUGGCGAUUGCGUUGUGGUGCUUGCAGACUUUCAGGGAUGCCAAGGGGCUGUACCUUGCCAGUGAUUCGGACGAGCAGCUGCUGACCUACAUCCCAUUCUUGCAGGUGUGCUGGGGCUAGAUUGGUGCCCAAUUGACAGAUUCCAUAGUCUUUCAGUGUUGAUACCUUGGGGUUGUUUCUGGUGUCACCGGAGUGCCUCGCCAUGAAGGUCAUGGCUAAUAAUUGUGAGCAAUGGAAGGCAAUGGUUUGUGGUAACUAUGCAAGCAGACAAAAGUAGACCAACUCCCCAUAAGAUCAUGUGUCGUUUCAUGUGUUGACCAUGUGAAAAUUUUCAGUGUAUUUUACCAUGAUCAACACCAUGCCCUGAGGAGCCUUUAAUUUCUGAACCAGUAUCAAUUCUAAAUAUAGUUUAUGAUUUAAUUUUAGUGUAUUCUGAAUAUAUCUUCUCAAUUGUAAAUCUAUAUAUUUUGGAUUGUAAGUAUCAAUGAAUUGAUUUAUGAUUUUUUUUUCCAUC